AGAGUUGAUCAUGGCUCAGGAUGAACGCUGGCGGCGUGCCUAAUACAUGCAAGUCGAACGCUUCACUUCGGUGAAGAGUGGCGAACGGGUGAGUAAUACAUAAGUAACCUGGCAUCUACAGGGGGAUAACUGAUGGAAACGUCAGCUAAGACCGCAUAGGUGUAGAGAUCGCAUGAACUCUAUAUGAAAAGUGCUACGGGACUGGUAGAUGAUGGACUUAUGGCGCAUUAGCUUGUUGGUAGGGUAACGGCCUACCAAGGCGACGAUGCGUAGCCGACCUGAGAGGGUGACCGGCCACACUGGGGCUGAGACACGGCCCAGACUCCUACGGGAGGCAGCA
rnacentral:rRNA from 1 species